rnacentral:rRNA from 1 species
UUAAGCAAUGGAGAGGCGCAGGAAGGUAGCCGAACCGCGGCGAUGGUUGUUCCGCGGGUAAGGGUGUAGGGCGAGGUGUAGGCAAAUCCGCACCUCAUGUGCCUGAGACCUGACACGGACCCGUAAGGGGAAGUCGGUGAUCCUAUGCUGCCAAGAAAAUCUUCUAGCGAGGUUCUAGCCGCCCGUACCCCAAACCGACUCAGGUGGUUAGGUAGAGAAUACCAAGGCGAUCGAGUGAAUCGUGGUUAAGGAAUUCGGCAAAAUACCCCCGUAACUUCGGGAGAAGGGGGGCCCAGAGGGUGACGGGACUUGCUCCCCGAGCCUGAACGGCCGCAGAGACCAGGGAGAAGCGACUGUUUACUAAAAACACAGGUCCGUGCCAAGUCGCAAGACGAUGUAUACGGACUGACGCCUGCCCGGUGCUGGAACGUUAAGGGGACCGGUUAGCCUCACGGCGAAGCUGAGAACUUAAGCGCCAGUAAACGGCGGUGGUAACUAUAACCAUCCUAAGGUAGCGAAAUUCCUUGUCGGGUAAGUUCCGACCUGCACGAAUGGCGUAACGACUUCUCCACUGUCUCAACCACGAACUCGGCGAAAUUGCACUACGAGUAAAGAUGCUCGUUACGCGCAUAAGGACGGAAAGACCCCGGGACCUUUACUACAGCUUGGUAUUGGUGUUCGGUACGGCUUGUGUAGGAUAGGUGGGAGACUGUGAAGCUGACACGCCAGUGUCGGUGGAGUCAACGUUGAAAUACCACUCUGGUCGUUCUGGAUAUCUAACCUAGGUCCGUAAUCCGGAUCAGGGACAGUGCCUGGUGGGUAGUUUAACUGGGGCGGUUGCCUCCUAAAAGGUAACGGAGGCGCCCAAAGGUUCCCUCAGCCUGGUUGGCAAUCAGGUUUCGAGUGUAAGUGCACAAGGGAGCUUGACUGUGAGACUGACAAGUCGAACAGGGACGAAAGUCGGGACUAGUGAUCCGGCGGUGGCUUGUGGAAGCGCCGUCGCUCAACGGAUAAAAGGUACCCCGGGGAUAACAGGCUGAUCUUGCCCAAGAGUCCAUAUCGACGGCAUGGUUUGGCACCUCGAUGUCGGCUCGUCGCGUCCUGGGGCUGGAGUAGGUCCCAAGGGUUGGGCUGUUCGCCCAUUAAAGCGGUACGCGAGCUGGGUUUAGAACGUCGUGAGACAGUUCGGUCCCUAUCCUCUGCGCGCGCAGGAAACUUGAGAAGGGCUGUCCCUAGUACGAGAGGACCGGGAUGGACGAACCUCUGGUGUGUCAGUUGUUCUGCCAAGAGCACCGCUGAUUAGCUACGUUCGGGAGUGAUAACCGCUGAAAGCAUCUAAGCGGGAAGCAUGCUUCAAGAUGAGGUUUCCAUGGGGUUUACCCCGAGAGGCUCCCAGCUAGACUACUGGGUUGAUAGGCCGGAUGUGGAAGUGCGGUAACGCAUGGAGCUGACCGGUACUAAUAAGCCGAUAACUUGACC